AUACGAAGGGUGCAAGCGUUGUUCGGAAUAACUGGGCGUAAAGCGCACGUAGGCGGAAUGUUAAGUUAGAGGUGAAAUCCCAGGGCUCAACCCUGGAACUGCCUUUAAUACUGGCAAUCUAGAGACCGAGAGAGGUGAGUGGAAUUCCGAGUGUAGAGGUGAAAUUCGUAGAUAUUUGGAGGAACACCAGUGGCGAAGGCGGCUCACUGGCUCGAUACUGACGCUGAGGUGCGAAAGCGUGGGGAGCAAACAGGAUUAGAAACCCUAGUAGUCC
rnacentral:rRNA from 1 species